UACAGAGGUCCCAAGCGUUGUUCGGAUUCACUGGGCGUAAAGGGUGCGUAGGCGGUCGGGUAAGUCUGAUGUGAAAUCUCACAGCUUAACUGUGAAACUGCAUUGGAUACUAUCCGGCUCGAGGAAUGGAGGGGAGACUGGAAUACUUGGUGUAGCAGUGAAAUGCGUAGAUAUCAAGUGGAACACCAGUGGCGAAGGCGAGUCUCUGGACAUUUCCUGACGCUGAGGCACGAAAGCCAAGGGAGCAAACGGG
rnacentral:rRNA from 1 species